rnacentral:rRNA from 1 species
UACGAAGGGGGCUAGCGUUGCUCGGAAUCACUGGGCGUAAAGGGUGCGUAGGCGGGUCUUAAGUCAGGGGUGAAAUCCUGGAGCUCAACUCCAGAACUGCCUUUGAUACUGAAGAUCUUGAGUUCGGGAGAGGUGAGUGGAACUGCGAGUGUAGAGGUGAAAUUCGUAGAUAUUCGCAAGAACACCAGUGGCGAAGGCGGCUCACUGGCCCGAUACUGACGCUGAGGCACGAAAGCGUGGGGAGCAACAGGGAUUAAGAAACCCGUUG